UUUUUUGCUCGAACAAAUUCACUUCAUUAAUUAUGCUCCCUCGAAAUUAUAGGCUCAACUAAAGCUACUGUAUUUUGAGCAAUCACCAUAAAAUAAUAUUAACAAAAGGAAAUCCCCCACAACAGAGAGGAAUUAUAAACAUGAGCAAACAUGAAAAAGAUGCCAAAACUUCAUCUUAUUCAAUUUUUCCAACGCCACGUGAAUAUUUUUGACAAGUAAUUAAAGCAGAAAAUCCAAUAUUCGCUUACAGCAAGUCCAAAAGAGCUUUUUGUUGUUGGAGCUCAGGAUACUUUUCAUACCUGUAAUGUAAUUAUCAUGCAGUAUAAAGGACCGAGUAAGUGGGUGCUAUUGGAUUUAGAAGAUGAGUGAAGGAAAAGUUGGUACUUUUAAGUACAGGUUGGGAAAUUGGCAAAUGAUCCAAAUGACAAAGGGCAUUACCAGACACGAGCUGUACUUGUGAACAUGUUUGUAAUUAAAUGCGUGUCAGGCAUCUAUGACCUACUCAUAUGGUAGUGUGCUCUUAAAUUCUAGCAGUGGCAAAUGAUUGAGGACAUCGAAUCCAUUGGCAAAGUGGAGUGUAGUAUGUGUAUCUUUAUUUGCAUUUAAACUGUGGGGAUGAUAGGUAAAUUAUUGUGGAGUGUGAAAUUAUUAGAAGGGACAAUUGGGGUACGUGGGUGUUCUCUGGAUGCCAAACUUUUUCAUCUUGUGGGGGUCCUACAAUUUGACAA